UUUCAAAGAUUAAGCCAUGCAUGUGUCAGUGCAAGCCUUUCCUAACGGUGAAACCGCGAACGGCUCAUUAAAUCAGUCAUAAUCCGUUGGACUAUAUGGAACCUUGUCCUUACUCGGAUAACUGUGGUAAUUCUAGAGCUAAUACAUGCCACGAGUUCCCAAAGUGUUUUUUUUAACAUUAGUAGGACGCAAUUAUUAGAUCCAAAAAUUUGAAUAAAACUUGGUGUAAAGUUUGGUGAUUCUGGAUAAUAGGAGCAGAGCGCUUAAUUUUCGCCGGCGCCAUACCUAUGAAGGGACUGCCCUAUCAGCUUGAUUGUAUAUUAAAUGUUUACAAUGGCUAUAACGGGUAACGGGGAAUCAGGGUUCGAUUCCGGAGAGGGAGCCUGAGAAACGGCUACCACAUCUAAGGAAGGCAGCAGGCACGCAAAUUGCUCAAUCUUAGCUCAAGGAAGCAGUGACAAAAUAUCUUGAUGCGGGACUCUUCCGAGGCCUCGCAAUCAGGAUGCGUUUACUUUAAAUAAGUAAGCUGAACGCAAUAAAAGCUCGUAGUUGGACUUUAUGCUCAGGCAACCAGUCCCCGUUCUUUUAAGGGUUAAAAUGAGUCUGCAAUUAAGUUUGUGUCCGUUCAUCCUUCUUUUUUCAUUUCUCUUUUUUUUUUUCCUUUCUGACCAUGAGGAAGUUUAUAAAAUUAGUUUCAAUCGUAUCACUUUGAAUAAAUUAGAGUGCUCAAAGCAAUUGCAUUAUAAUUGCCUGUAUGGUAGUGCAAGGAAUGAUGGAAGAUGAUCUUUGCCUCGUUAAAUUUAAAAAGGAUAUAUAUUUUAUUUUUGCCCCAAGUAAAGAUUCGAGGUUUGAGAUAAUGAUUAAAGGGAACUGCCGGGGGCGUUUGUAUUACGGCGCUAGAGGUGAAAUUCUUGGACCGUCGUAAGACAAACUAUUGCGAAGGCAUUCGCCAAGAAUGUUUUCAUUAAUCAAGAACGAAAGUUAGAGUUUAGAAGGAGAUCAGAUACCUCCCUAUUUCUAACCGUAAACAAUGCUAACCGGUUGUCCGUCGGAAGUCAAUUCCGAUGGACGAGCGACCCCAGGGAAACCAGAGUUUCUGAGCUCCUGGGGAAGUAUGGUUGCAAUAUUGAAACUUAAAGGAAUUGACGGAAGGGCACCACCAGGAGUGGAGCCUGCGGCUUAAUUUGACUCAACACGGGAAAACUCACCAGGCCCAGAAACAUUUAGGAUUGACAGAUUGAAAGCUCUUUCAUGAUUAUGAGGAUGGUGGUGCAUGGCCGUCUUA
rnacentral:rRNA from 1 species